rnacentral:sRNA from 1 species
CUUGAUAAGAACUUGAUAAUCGAAACUAGGGUCUAAAAUAAUGUUAAUAAACCCUAUAUAACAUCCAAGGACUAAUAAUGCAAAUAGGGAAAUCUUCUGGGGCAAAUUUCUUCUUCUGUAAAUUUCCUUUUCUUUAGCUUUUGCUCCAAAAUGUCUCAUUAUCUCCACUGUUGUCCCACUACAUAGAGUACCUGAAAAGACAUUAAAAAGACCUCGAGAAAUAACAUAAAGACUCAAAAUUCUAUACCUAAAACAUAAAUAAAAUCAUUAAAAAUAGGGAUAUAUCAAGGAUGAUGGAGCAGUUGCAGAGAAUUGGCACCAGGUAUUUUUCUGGUGGUACUAGUCCUGAGGAGGCCGACAGUUGGCGGUCGCGGGUUGAGCGGAACUUCGGUUCGAGCAGAUGCCCGGUGGAGUAUCGUGUGGAUUUGGCAAUGCAUUUUCUAGAGGGGGAUGCACAUUUGUGGUGGGGGAGUGUCAUUACCAUGAGGAGGCAGACGGAAAUGUCUUGGGCAGAUUUUGUGGCUGAGUUUAAUGCCACGUACUUUCAGCAGGAGGCGCUCGACUGUAUGGAGGCGCGUUUUCUUGAGUUGACACAGGUUGAGCAGUCGGUACGGAAGUAUGAACGAGAGUUUAACCAAACUCUUGGUGUAUGCGGGUCGGGGCUUGGAGGAUGACCAUGCCCAGUUGAGGAGGUUCAUGAGGGGACUUCGACCGGAUCUGAGGGUGCAGUGUAAAGUGUUGUAGUAAGCCAUGAAGGCGACACUGGUGGAGACGGCUGCUGAGAUAGAGGAGGACCUUCAGAGGCAAGUGGUGGCAGUGAGUCCAGCGGUACAGCCGAAGAAGACUCAGCAUGUGGCACCUAGCAAGGGCGGCAAGCGUGUGCAGGGGCAGAAGAGGAGGUGGGAUCAUCCUUCCAGAGCUGAACAGGGUAGUCGUACGAGAUGUUUUUCUUGUGGGAGCCUUGCCCACAAAGUAGCGGAUUGCACGCAGCGAGCUGAGACGAGGGAGUGCUACCAUUGCAGGGAGAGGGGACAUCUCUGGCUGCAUUGUCCUAAGCUAUAGCGGAUGGCAGUGGCAGUAGUACAGCCGGCGGUCCAGCAGGGAGCGCAGGUGGAGCAGUUACCACAUAUUGCAGCGGCACCGCAGGACUACACUACACGUGAGACAAGAGGUACCAGCAACAAAGCGAUCACUGGUAUGAUUUCUGAGACUCAGACUUUGUGAAUUAUUUCUAUUGUUUUGGAUAUCAUUGUUUUGUGAUGAAUGUUAGGUUUCUUAGCACAUGAGGGAGUGAGACCUACCUCAGGGAGUCUCGUCAUCUCACUAGUGCAGGCAGAAAAGAUGAUCAAGAAGGCCUGCGAGGGUUACCUGGUGACAAUAAAUAUGUCGGAGUCUGUGGGGCAGGUAGCAGUGAGCGACAUUCAAGUUGUUUAGGAGUUCGAGGAUGUGUUUCAAUCAUUGCAGGGAUUACCACCAUCACGAUCUGAUCCUUUCACGAAUGAGUUGGAACCAGGGACAUCGCCCUUGUCUAAGGCACCCUACUGGAUGGCUCUAGCAGAGAUGGCAGAGCUGAAGAAGCAGCUAGAGGAUUUGUUGAGUAAGGGAUUCAUUCGUCCUAGUACUUCUAUUCGGGGAUCACCGGUGUUACUUGUGAAAAAAUAGGACGAGAGUUUCCGCUUAUGUAUUAACUACCGGGGGUUGAACCGGGUCACUUUGAAGAACAAGUACCCAUUGCCAAGGAUCGAUGAGUUGUUGGAUCAGUUGAAGGGUGCUACUUGUUUCUUAAAAAUUGAUUUGACGUCGGGUUAUCACCACAUCCUGAUAGCGGAGGCAGAUGUUUGCAAGACUGCUUUCAGGACGAGAUAUGGACAUUUUGAGUUUGUGGUGAUGCCUUUCGGUUGAGUAAUGAACCUACAGCGUUCAUGAGUUUGAUGAACAACAUGUUCGAGGAGUUUCUGGAUGAGUUUAU